GAAGGUGCAAGCGUAAUCGGAAUACUGGGCGUAAAGCGCACGCAGGCGGUUUGUUAAGUCAGAUGUGAAAUCCCCGGGCUCAACCUGGGAACUGCAUCUGAUACUGGCAAGCUUGAGUCUCGUAGAGGGGGGUAGAAUUCCAGGUGUAGCGGUGAAAUGCGUAGAGAUCUGGAGGAAUACCGGUGGCGAAGGCGGCCCCCUGGACGAAGACUGACGCUCAGGUGCGAAAGCGUGGGGAGCAAACAGGAUUAGAUACCCUGGUAGUCCACGCCGUAAACGAUGUCGACUUGGAGGUUGUGCCCUUGAGGCGUGGCUUCCGGMKAACGCGUUAAGUCGACCGCCU
rnacentral:rRNA from 1 species